rnacentral:rRNA from 1 species
GAAGAUGUAACGGGGCUAAACCAUGCACCGAAGCUGCGGCAGCGACACUAUGUGUUGUUGGGUAGGGGAGCGUUCUGUAAGCCUGCGAAGGUGACCUGUGAGGGUUGCUGGAGGUAUCAGAAGUGCGAAUGCUGACAUAAGUAACGAUAAAGCGGGUGAAAAGCCCGCUCGCCGGAAGACCAAGGGUUCCUGUCCAACGUUAAUCGGGGCAGGGUGAGUCGACCCCUAAGGCGAGGCCGAAAGGCGUAGUCGAUGGGAAACAGGUUAAUAUUCCUGUACUUGGUGUUACUGCGAAGGGGGGACGGAGAAGGCUAUGUUAGCCGGGCGACGGUUGUCCCGGUUUAAGCAUGUAGGCUGGUUAUCCAGGCAAAUCCGGAUAAUCAAGGCUGAGGUGUGAUGACGAGGCACUACGGUGCUGAAGUAACAAAUGCCCUGCUUCCAGGAAAAGCCUCUAAGCAUCAGGUAACAUCAAAUCGUACCCCAAACCGACACAGGUGGUCAGGUAGAGAAUACCAAGGCGCUUGAGAGAACUCGGGUGAAGGAACUAGGCAAAAUGGUGCCGUAACUUCGGGAGAAGGCACGCUGGUGUGUAGGUGAAG